rnacentral:tRNA from 1 species
GCGUCUUUAGCUCAGUGGUAGAGCGUUUGCAUGACACGCAAAAGGUCGCAGGUUCGAUCCCUGCAAGACGCA